GCCGCCAUAGCUCACUCGGUUAGAGCUUGGGUCUAAUAAGCCCAAGGUCGCAGGUUCGGCCACUGCUGGCGGCA
rfam:Nippostrongylus brasiliensis genome assembly, scaffold: NBR_contig0001032